rnacentral:rRNA from 1 species
AUUGAACGCUGGCGGAAUGCUUUACACAUGCAAGUCAAGCGGCAGCGCGGGGGCGAACCCUGGCGGCGAGCGGCGAACGGGUGAGUAACAUAUCGGAACGUACCCAGUCGUGGGGGAUAACUAUCCGAAAGGAUAGCUAAUACCGCAUACGUCCUGAGGGAGAAAGCGGGGGAUCGCAAGACCUCGCGCGAUUGGAGCGGCCGAUAUCGGAUUAGCUAGUUGGUGGGGGUAAAGGCUCACCAAGGCGACGAUCCGUAGCGGGUCUGAGAGGACGACCCGCCACACUGGAACUGAGACACGGUCCAGACUCCUACGGGAGGCAGCAGUGGGGAAUUUUGGACAAUGGGCGCAAGCCUGAUCCAGCCAUGCCGCGUGAGUGAAGAAGGCC